rnacentral:rRNA from 1 species
UGUUACUCAUAAGUAAAAGAUUUUGGAAUAGUAUUUAUUAUGAAAUUUAACGGAUUUGGCGGCAAGAUAGCCAUUUAGAGGAACCUGCCCUGUAAACGAUGAACCACGAUUUACCCUACUUUUAUUUGAAUUCAGUUUGUAUACCGCUGUUGCCAGUCAGUUUCUUUAGAAAACUUUCGAUAAUGAAAAAAUCAUAGACUUCAAGUAAAGGUGCAGCUCAUAUAAAAGAUAGAGGUGGGUUACAUUUAGGAGAAUAACACGGAUAAAGUUUUUUAAAUAACUUUUGAAGGUGGAUUUAAAUGUAAAGUUUAUAAGAACUUGAUGGGAGCUCUGUCUUGUG